CUAUGUUAAACAAUCAUAAAGUGAUUCAUGCAGGAAACACCCUAUCUGAGUUCGGUCAACAAGACUAUGCGUUUAAGCAAUUUCUGAAGUUAAAUUGAGUUUUUAACUCCAAAAUUGCAUCGCAUAUGUGAAAACGGGAUAAAUAAAUCGAAUUUUUUCUUUAACAAUUUAAUCAAUAAAUAAUAAACAAAUAAUAAUAAUAAUAAUUUGCAAUAAUAGUAAUAAUCAAU
rnacentral:lncRNA from 1 species